AGGUGUUGUGCCAGACAAAUUGGGCUAUCUUGAUGAGAUAAAAUAUGGGAACCUUCCUCGGCACCUAC
rnacentral:tRNA from 1 species